UACGGGGGGAGCAAGCGUUGUUCGGAUUUACUGGGCGUAAAGGGCGCGUAGGCGGCCACCGCAAGUCGGUUGUGAAAUCUCUGGGCUUAACCCAGAAAGGUCAACCGGUACUGCGGGGCUAGAGUGCAGAAGGGGCAACUGGAGUUCUCGGUGUAGCGGUGAAAUGCGUAGAUAUCGAGAGGAACACCUGCGGCGAAGGCGGGUUGCUGGGCUGACACUGACGCUGAAGCGCGAAAGCUAGGGGAGCGAACGGG
rnacentral:rRNA from 1 species